GAGCAGGAGUUGGAUGUUUGGGGAAUCCUUCCUGCCUCUUCCUUCCUCGACAAACCCUUUCCCCAUCUCAACCCGAACCAUCCCUGACUUUAUAAAACCCAACCAACAAAAAAACCCCAGACAACAAGAAAAAAAACCCCAGACAACAAAAAAAACCCAACAAACACAAAUUGUGAAGUUGCAUCCUGUAGGAAUGAUUUAUAAAUCCGAUUAAUGAUGAAAUGAAGGUGAUUUCCGUCCUGGCAGCGCCCGGUAGCACCCUGCGGUGGAAAUAGCAUUGAAUCAGAGCAAGAGCAGCUUCCAGGGAUUUGAAACUAAUCCCAGGGAUUCUCUUUGCUGGGAAUCUUCCUCCUUGCCCUGCCCACACGGGGUGAUCCUCCUUUCCAAGGAGUGGAGGAGCUUGUUCUCAGCUGGAGCUCGUGGCGGUUCCGUCCCUGUUGUGUCUGUGACCCACAUCUGUUUCCAGCCCGGCUUUUCAUCCAGGAAUUUACUCCUGGCUUAAGGCAGGUUUAUCUCCAGAGGGUUUCAUCCAUCUCUCAAGGCUGGUGUGAAGAGAUUAAUGCUGCUCCUUGCUUCACCAGCCCCUCCCUGAAAUUUGGGAACUGCUCCACACCUGGGAUCGGCCCUCCUGGAACAGGGGGGAAGGAUCAGAGGGAUGGCAAAAUUUUCCCUUAAAAGCCCAUCCAAACAGGAUUUCACAAGUGAAUUCCAGCAGUCCCUGUGCUUUCUCAGAGCACAUCAGUUUCCUAGGGGAAAAAAAAAAGGAAUAGAGAGUUUUUCCCAGCAGAGUCUUUUCAAAGCAUUUUGUUCUCCCCCGCUGCUCUCGGAGUAAACAGGUUCAGCUGAACUCGUGUCACAAGUCCCUGCUCCGAAGGUUAUUUAGUGCAGGGAGGGAAAAGGGGAAAGGUGCAGCUGGAUUUAACAGGAUUGAGUGUGGCAGUGCCUGAAAUCAUGGAAGGUUACUUCCAAACAAAGGAAGGCCUGAGUUGCAGGCCCUCAGGAGUCGUGGCAGGCAAUGAUCCGGGGAAUGAUGCCCGGAGCAGCUGCCUCCUGGUGUUCCUGGCUAAAUAUCCCGUCAUCUGGAGAGGACCAGGGGGAAAACUGCCUGGAAUGGACCAUGGAGUCGGUGACAAAUGGAUUGGGAGUGUGUUUAUAAGGGAAGAUGAGCGUCGGUAGCCAGGCUGGGAAAGGAGUUUGAAUUCGGGGAAAUCAGGCUGGUGAUGGGAUGGGAAAGGAUGGGAUGGGAAAGGAUGGGAUGGGAAAGGAUGGGAUGGGAAAGGAUAUCAGCCAGGGAUAGCUGGUUCCAUAAUGUGUGGGAUGCCUCUGACAUGGAUUUAAAGCUUGGAUUCUGAUAUCCUGGAUUAUGUGGGCCCUGGAUGUUAAAAUUGCCGGGUAUGUCCUUCCCCCCAAAAAUGCAGCCUCGGAUCUGGACCUUUGACUAAACCAGGAUGAAACAUUCCCAGGAAAGUUUGACUAAACCAACCAGGAUUAAAUAGUCCCAGGAAGGUUUGACUAAACCCAGGAGAGUGAAACAUUCCCAGGAAGGUUUGACUAAACCCAGCAGGAUUAAAUAAUCCCAUCAAGGUUUAACUGCCCCAAGCAGGAUGAAACAUUCCCAGUAAGGUUUGACUGAACCAACCAGGAUAAAAUAUUCCCAGUGAGGUUUGAUUAAACCAACCAGGUUGAAACAUUCCCAGGAAGGUUUAACUAAACCAACCAGGAUUAAAUAGUCCCAGGAAGGUUUGGCUAAACCCAGCAGGAUUAAAUAAUCCCAACAAGGUUUAACUGAACCAAGCAGGAUGAAAUAGUCCCAGUAGGGUUUGACUAAACCCAGCAAUGUGAAACACCCAGGAAAGUUUAACUA